GGAAAGGGACAUAUUGGGACAUUUAUUGUCUCAGGACGUCCUUGCCAAGGUGGGAAUGUUACCUCUUUUUCGGAUGAGAAAUCAGCCUGGAGCUGUGAAGGAGCUCGCCGGAGGGCACCGUCAACAUAACCCUAAAUUUGGGCCCAUAUGACUCCGAGGUCUGAGAUAAUCAUGAGGGUUGGAAGAGCUGACUUCUGAGCAUUAACCGUACCCCAGAAACCGGGCUGGGCUCCUCUGUGUCAUCUCCUAAUCCUUACAUCAAGCCGUAGGAGAGGUGUUAUAGUUGCUUCUUGUUUUCGUGCUUGCUGACUGAAGGUGGGCAGAACUCAGAGGCUUGGAAAAUCCUCAACUCACCAUUUCCCAUCCCUCCCCUCCCCCAUCCCCACCUCCCAGAAGGCCACUGGGGCUUAGAGUGAACCCUGAGUGUCAGACGGCAGACAUGUUCAUAUGAGUCCCCAGGAAAGGGGCUUUCCGCCUCUGCCCCUCUCUGCGGGUUUCCUGGGGGAACCCUCCGGUGGGGGUGGGACCGAGCACCCCCAGGGUGGGGCUUGGCUCUCCCUAGUCUGUCCGGGCCAGGCUGUCAGGCUCACGGAAUGUAGACGCCCAUCUCCUGGUGUCACAGAUGGUGCAGUGGGCAGAAGCGGGUUCCCAUCAGCUCUGUCUUUGCUAGUCAUGUGUCCUUGGCGGGUGGCCCCACCUCCCAGGGGCCUUGUCUCCCGAUCUGUAAUCUGGGGGAGUAUCCCCGCCCCCGAGGGAGUUGUGAACAUGAAAUAAACACAACGCGGGCUCACAAACCUCCCUUUUCUGCUUGAUGGAUGGAUGUGGGCCUCUUCUAUUCUUUCCUCUGAUCCGACAAAGCCCUUCCUCCUAAUUCUUUCUUCCUUGGAGAACUGCGGGCUUCCCUGUGGGUUCCGGCUUUACUCCGUAUUCCCAGGCGGAUGCCUGUGGGCCCGUGGCAGCCGGCUUCCUGACUAGCUUUGCUGUGAUGUGAUCACGGCAUGAAGGACCCCCUGAGAAAUGGGGCUUGGGGCGGGGGGCAGCCGCAAGGUGCACUGGGCGCCCUUGAGGUCUUCUCUUCCAGGGCGCCCGGCAUGCCUUCUGCAACCCUGGGCUCGGUGGGGAAUUAGGCCCCGGGGACCCUUGACUCUGACUCUGCAGAUGUGUGCUGGAGUGCACGGAAGUGGCUUCUUCCAUCUGCCAAAUGGCUGUCAUGGCCUUUGCCCAGUAAACAGAUGACUGUCCUUAGAUGCAAAUAAAUAAUGUUUCUUGCACACA